AUUGAACGCUGGCGGCAGGCCUAACACAUGCAAGUCGAACGAGUGGCGGACGGGUGAGUAAUGUCUGGGAAACUGCCCGAUGGAGGGGGAUAACUACUGGAAACGGUAGCUAAUACCGCAUACUAUCGGAUGUGCCCAGAUGGGAUUAGCUAGUGGGUGGGGUAACGGCUCACCUAGGCGACGAUCCCUAGCUGGUCUGAGAGGAUGACCAGCCACACUGGAACUGAGACACGGUCCAGACUCCUACGGGAGGCAGCAGUGGGGAAUAUUGGACAAUGGGCGCAAGCCUGAUGCAGCCAUGCCGCGUGUAUGAAGAAGGCCUUCGGGUUGUAAAGUACUUUCAGCGAGGAGGCGUUACUCGCAGAAUAAGCACCGGCUAACUCCGUGCCAGCAGCCGCGGUAAUUC
rnacentral:rRNA from 1 species